rnacentral:rRNA from 1 species
UGGGGAAUAUUGGACAAUGGGCGAAAGCCUGAUCCAGCCAUGCCGCGUGUGUGAAGAAGGUCUUCGGAUUGUAAAGCACUUUAAGUUGGGAGGAAGGGUUGUAACCUAAUACGUUGCAAUCUUGACGUUACCGACAGAAUAAGCACCGGCUAACUCUGUGCCAGCAGCCGCGGUAAUACAGAGGGUGCAAGCGUUAAUCGGAAUUACUGGGCGUAAAGCGCGCGUAGGUGGUUCGUUAAGUUGGAUGUGAAAUCCCCGGGCUCAACCUGGGAACUGCAUUCAAAACUGUCGAGCUAGAGUAUGGUAGAGGGUGGUGGAAUUUCCUGUGUAGCGGUGAAAUGCGUAGAUAUAGGAAGGAACACCAGUGGCGAAGGCGACCACCUGGACUGAUACUGACACUGAGGUGCGAAAGCGUGGGGAGCAAACA